rnacentral:lncRNA from 1 species
GGGCAAUGGGGUUAUUGGGGGUAAUGGGGGACGGGGGGUAAUGGGGGAAUAGUGCCGUGGUGACACGGCGCCGCGGUGCCGUGGGGUGCUGGGGGCUGUGGUGGCGUGGUGAUACGGUGCCAUGGUGAUACAGGGAUGUGGUGCCCUGGUGCCACGGUGAUUGGUGUGGUGCCACGCUGUCGUGGUGCCAUGGUGCCACGCUGUUAUGGUAACAUGGUGCCAUGCUGUUGUGGUGCUAUGAUGCCAUGGUGCCAUGAUGCCAUGCUGUUGUGGUGCCAUGGUGCCAUGCUGUCAUGGUGCCACACUGUUAUGGUGCCAUGGUGCCACGCUGUCAUGGUGCUAUGAUGCCAUGAUGCCAUGGUGCUGUUUUGAUGCCAUGAUGCCACACUGUCAUGGUGCCAUGCUGCUGUGGUGCCAUGGUGCCAUGGUGCCAUGCUGUUAUGGUGCUAUGAUGCCAUGGUGCCAUGCUGUUAUGGUGCCAUGAUGCCAUGCUGUUGUGGUGCCAUGGUGCUGUUAUGGUGCCAUGAUGCCAUGCUGUCGUGGUGCCAUGCUGUUGUGGUGCCAUGGUGCCACGCUGUCAUGGUAACAUGGUGCCAUGCUGUCAUGGUGCCAUGCUGUUGUGGUGCCAUGGUGCCAUGCUGUUAUGGUGUCACGCUGUUGUGGUGCUAUGAUGCCAUGCUGUUAUGGUGUCACGCUGUCAUGGUGCCAUGCUGUUGUGGUGCUAUGAUGCCAUGGUGCCAUGAUGCCAUGCUGUCGUGGUGCUAUGGUGCCACGCUGCCAUGGUGCCAUGCUGUUGUGGUGCUAUGGUGCCAUGGUGCCAUGCUGUCAUGGUGCCACACUGUUAUGGUGCCAUGAUGCCACACUGUCAUGGUGCCAUGCUGUUGUGGUGCCAUGGUGCCAUGCUGCCAUGCUGUUAUGGUGCUAUGAUGCCAUGGUGCCAUGCUGUUGUGGUGCCAUGGUGCCAUGCUGUUGUGGUGCCAUGAUGCCAUGAUGCCAUGCUGUUGUGGUGCCAUGGUGCUGUUAUGGUGCCAUGAUGCCAUGCUGUCGUGGUGCCAUGCUGUCGUGGUGCCAUGGUGCUGUUAUGGUGCCAUGAUGCCAUGCUGUCGUGGUGCCAUGCUGUUGUGGUGCCGCGGUGCCACGCAGGCUGCUGCCCAGGAACGCGUGCUCGUGUGAGGCAGAGCCGGGGCUGCCGCUGCCGCUGUUCGGGCAGAGCCACAGCGGGGAUUUCGGCAGCGCCUUCAGCCCCGAGGAGCUGCCCCGGCUGCAGCGGCUGCGGGAGAGAGAAUAUCGGCGGCACCGGCUGCGGUGAGCGGCACUGCGGGAGCUGUGGGCCAUAUGGGGCUGGG